GUUUGGCUCUCGGUGAGUAGGACUGUGCGCUGCGUCACGUCUCUGACGCUCCUCCACCUGUGUGCUACUGCAGAGCGGCUGACAAAUGUUGGCCACCUGGAUGAUAAAACUGUGACCUGGAUGACGUCACGAUCAGCUGUCCCCUGCGGCUGUCUUUGCUUCCGGUGUUCCAGGGCCGCGGCCUCGGCUCUCGGGGGCCUGUCGUGGGUUCCCUGUUUCCUGCGCGGGUGGCUUGUGCUGCAUGAUGGCCUUGUGUUUGCUCGCUAUUUUUUUUUAUUUAUAUCUUAGUUGAUAUCAUCAAUUUUGCUUAAUAAUUUGAUUGUUAUUCCCCUUUUUUGUUUGUUUGUUUUGCUUUCUGAGAUUUGUUUUGAUUUAACUGCUGUAUUUUAUACAUUUUUAGGGUGUAUUAUUUAUGUAGUGUUAUGUUUAUUUUCUUUAAUUAUUCUGGGGAAUUAUAUGUAGUUUAGUCUUUGAGUAUAAUUUGCCCAGUUGUAAUUCUUUGGUUCGUUUUGUGUUUGAUUAUUAGUUAUUGAUUUAUUAGUAAUUUGUGGUAUUUUCUUUGUUCUUACUCUGGGCAGUAUAUCUUUAGUUUAGUUUGAAUAUAAUUAGCCCCGUCUUUAUUCUAAUCCUGAGUUUGUUUUGUAUCUUGUUUUAGUGCCGAGGCCGGUGGUGGUGCGGGUGACCUGGGUGACGGUGUGUGUGUGUGUGUGUGUGUGACAGAGUAUCUUUAAUUUAGACUCCUCCCUCAUGAGCUUCAUUUUCACCACGAGCCUCAGCCUGAACAGAUUUAUUUUUGGUAUGAAUGAACAAAUUGUGCUUUUAAAAGAUCUCUAAAAUAAAGUGUACAUUAUUAUUGUA